rnacentral:rRNA from 1 species
UGCUGGGUACUCGAGUGGCGAACGGGUGAGUAACACGUGGGUGAUCUGCCCCUGACUUUGGGAUAAGCCUGGGAAACUGGGUCUAAUACCGAAUAUUCAUUUUUCCUCGCAUGGGGAUUGGUGGAAAGCUUUUGCGGUUGGGGAUGGGCCCGCGGCCUAUCAGCUUGUUGGUGGGGUAAUGGCCUACCAAGGCGACGACGGGUAGCCGACCUGAGAGGGUGAUCGGCCACACUGGGACUGAGACACGGCCCAGACUCCUACGGGAGGCAGCAGUGGGGAAUAUUGCACAAUGGGCGCAAGCCUGAUGCAGCGACGCCGCGUGAGGGAUGACGGCCUUCGGGUUGUAAACCUCUUUCAGCUCCGACGAAGCGCAAGUGACGGUAGGAGCAGAAGAAGCACCGGCCAACUACGUGCCAGCAGCCGCGGUAAUACGUAGGGUGCAAGCGUUGUCCGGAAUUACUGGGCGUAAAGAGCUCGUAGGCGGUUUGUCGCGUCGUCUGUGAAAUUCUGCAGCUUAACUGCAGGCGUGCAGGCGAUACGGGCAGACUUGAGUACUACAGGGGAGACUGGAAUUCCUGGUGUAGCGGUGAAAUGCGCAGAUAUCAGGAGGAACACCGGUGGCGAAGGCGGGUCUCUGGGUAGUAA